UACGUAGGGUGCGACGUUGUCCGGAAUUACGUGGGCGUAAAGGAGCUCGUAGGCGGUUUGUCGCGUCGGUCCGUGAAAACUUGGGGCUCAACCCCAAGACUUGCGGCGAUACGGGCAGACUUGAGUACUGGCAGGGAGACUGGAAUUCUGGUGUAGCGGUGAAAUGCGCAGAUAUCAGAGGAACACCGGUGGCGAAGGCGGGUCUCUGGGCAGUGAACUGACGCUGAGGAGCGAAGACGUGGGUAGCAAACAGG
rnacentral:rRNA from 1 species